AAUAACAAACCAAGCAUUGCCGUACAUUUUAUGAACUCAUAGAAAACCCAGAGCUGACUUUUGACCCCUGGUUCAGAUUCUGCAGAUCAAUAAUGUCUCUGAUCAUCCCAGGUUGGAUCUCCCGAGCCUGUAAACCUCCACCUUCAACACCAUCAGUUAGGUGGAGGAAGAUAAGAGAACCCAGUUGACAAAAAAACAAUUAAAGCAGAAGAUCUGCUCCACCUGCUAAUCUACUGGUUGUAAAAGAUUGUGGAAACGAUAAGACAACAGGAUUGGACCAAUCAGGAGACAGGACUGAGGAGACACAGGAAAUCCUGCCGAAAAUCCCGAGAAGAAGUUUCCUGAUGGAACAGGAGGACGCCUGAGGACAGAAUAAAGAGACACAGAUCAUGUGAAGUUGGGUCUCCUCAGCCUGUAAACCUCCAUCUUCAACUCCACCAGUCAGGAGGAGGAAGAUAAGAGAACCUAGUUGAGAAAAAAAGUAAGAAAACUUAUUUUUAUCCAGCUAACAAUUUUAAAUAUGGAUGAAACAGCGGUCAAAUUUCAAAACUGUUCUUUCUUCUGUCCAUUCUCUCUAACCCUGUUGUCUUUUCUACAUCAACUCAUGUCACAUGACUUGAGUUGAACAGCAAUUAAGGCAGAAGAUCUACUAUAUCUGCUGAUUGACUGGUUGUAACAGGUUGUGGAGAAGCAUGACUGAAACAAGACAGCAGCGCUGGACCAAUCAGAAGAGAGAAGACAGAAGAUCCUGCUGACAUUCCAGAGAUUUAAUGAAGAAGAGUUUCCUGAUACAACAGAGGGACAUCUGAGGACGGGAUGCAGAAUAAAGAGACACUGAUCAUGUGAAGUUGGAUCUCCUGAGCCUGUAAACCUCCACCUUCAACACCAUCAGUUAGGUGGAGGAAGAUAAGAGAACCCAGUUGACAAAAAAACAAUUAAAGCAGAAGACCUGCUCCACCUGCUAAUCUACUGGUUGUAAAAGAUUGUGGAAACGGUGAGGACAUGAUGAUGACUUCAUCAGAAAGUCUCCUUCAUUCAUCUGUUCUUUAGACAGAAAUUAAAGAAUGUGUGUCUGAUCAUGUGAUGAUUCUCCAACAUUACUGAGAUAAGACAAGAGGAUUGGACCAAUCAGGAGACAGGACUGAGGAGACACAGGAAAUCCUGUUUAAAAUCCCGAGAUCCCAGGUUGGGUCUCCUCGUAUUAGCAUCUGACCGGGGCGACCCCAACCAUCAUUCCGGUGCCAAAGAAACCUCAAGUCACCUCUUUCAACGAUUACCGGCCUGUGGCACUGACUCCCAUCAUGAUGAAGUGCUUUGAAAGGCUGGUAAAAGAACACAU